UACAGAGGUCUCAAGCGUUGUUCGGAUUCAUUGGGCGUAAAGGGUGCGCAGGCUGUGUGGUAAGUCAAGUGUGAAAUUUAGAGGCUCAACCUCUAAACUGCACCUGAUACUGCCAUGCUAGAGGACUGUAGAGGAGAUUGGAAUUCACGGUGUAGCAGUGAAAUGCGUAGAUAUCGUGAGGAAGACCAGUGGCGAAGGCGAAUCUCUGGGCAGUUCCUGACGCUCAUGCACGAAGGCUAGGGGAGCAAACGGGAUUAG
rnacentral:rRNA from 1 species